rnacentral:rRNA from 1 species
GAUGAACGCUGGCGGCGUGCCUAAUACAUGCAAGCCGAGCGAACGGACGAGAAGCUUGCUUCUCUGAUGUUAGCGGCGGACGGGUGAGUAACACGUGGAUAACCUACCUAUAAGACUGGGAUAACUUCGGGAAACCGGAGCUAAUACCGGAUAAUAUUUUGAACCGCAUGGUUCAAAAGUGAAAGACGGUCUUGCUGUCACUUAUAGAUGGAUCCGCGCUGCAUUAGCUAGUUGGUAAGAUAACGGCUUACCAAGGCAACGAUGCAUAGCCGACCUGAGAGGGUGAUCGGCCACACUGGAACUGAGACACGGUCCAGACUCCUACGGGAGGCAGCAGUAGGGAAUCUUCCGCAAUGGGCGAAAGCCUGACGGAGCAACGCCGCGUGAGUGAUGAAGGUCUUCGGAUCGUAAAACUCUGUUAUUAGGGAAGAACAUAUGUGUAAGUAACUGUGCACAUCUUGACGGUACCUAAUCAGAAAGCCACGGCUAACUACGUGCCAGCAGCCGCGGUAAUACGUAGGUGGCAAGCGUUAUCCGGAAUUAUUGGGCGUAAAGCGCGCGUAGGCGGUUUUUUAAGUCUGAUGUGAAAGCCCACGGCUCAACCGUGGAGGGUCAUUGGAAACUGGAAAACUUGAGUGCAGAAGAGGAAAGUGGAAUUCCAUGUGUAGCGGUGAAAUGCGCAGAGAUAUGGAGGAACACCAGUGGCGAAGGCGACUUUCUGGUCUGUAACUGACGCUGAUGUGCGAAAGCGUGGGGAUCAAACAGGAUUAGAUACCCUGGUAGUCCACGCCGUAAACGAUGAGUGCUAAGUGUUAGGGGGUUUCCGCCCCUUAGUGCUGCAGCUAACGCAUUAAGCACUCCGCCUGGGGAGUACGACCGCAAGGCUGAAACUCAAAGGAAUUGACGGGGACCCGCACAAGCGGUGGAGCAUGUGGUUUAAUUCGAAGCAACGCGAAGAACCUUACCAAAUCUUGACAUCCUUUGACAACUCUAGAGAUAGAGCCUUCCCCUUCGGGGGACAAAGUGACAGGUGGUGCAUGGUUGUCGUCAGCUCGUGUCGUGAGAUGUUGGGUUAAGUCCCGCAACGAGCGCAACCCUUAAGCUUAGUUGCCAUCAUUAAGUUGGGCACUCUAAGUUGACUGCCGGUGACGAACCGGAGGAAGGUGGGGAUGACGUCAAAUCAUCAUGCCCCUUAUGAUUUGGGCUACACACGUGCUACAAUGGACAAUACAAAGGGCAGCGAAACCGCGAGGUCAAGCAAAUCCCAUAAAGUUGUUCUCAGUUCGGAUUGUAGUCUGCAACUCGACUACAUGAAGCUGGAAUCGCUAGUAAUCGUAGAUCAGCAUGCUACGGUGAAUACGUUCCCGGGUCU